CAGAGUCGGCUUCGACUUUAGUGUAGUUACUGUUUCGUCGGCUUAACCGCCGAUCCACUACAUGCAAGGGGCAGCCGGGCUGUGAGGCAGCUGCCAGGAUGGUCCUGCCCUUGUCCCGGCUGGCGCCGUCCACCUU
rfam:Giardia lamblia ATCC 50803 SC_589 genomic scaffold, whole genome shotgun sequence.